UACAGAGGUCCCAAGCGUUGUUCGGAUUCACUGGGCGUAAAGGGUGCGCAGGUGGUUUGGCAAGUUUGACGUGAAAGCCCCGGGCUUAACCCGGGAAUGGCGUUGAAAACUGCUUGAACUGGAGGGUCGGAGGGGGGACUGGAAUUCUUGGUGUAGCAGUGAAAUGCGUAGAUAUCGAGAGGAACACCUGUGGCAAAGGCGAGUCUCUGGACGACUCCUGACACUGAGGCACGAAAGCUAGGGGAGCAAACGGG
rnacentral:rRNA from 1 species